rnacentral:tRNA from 1 species
GCCGGGGUGAUGAAAUUGGUAAACAUAGCGGACUUAAAGCAUUGAGUGCCCAGCCGGAAACGGCCGGUGCAGAACCCUUCAAAUUCGGCGAAACCCCUGAAUGCACGCGUCCAGACUCGUGCGACGAGGCAACGCCGAGCCAAGCCCGUUUUCUUUCCUGCCGAUGCGGGACGGAAGGCGCGGAAGGUGUAGAGACUAGACGGGGGGCGCCUUAGGCGAUGGGCGUGCAAUACGCGCAUCGCGAUGGCGAAGGCAUAGUCCAGCGCACGAACGUUUGCUUUUCUGGUUGAAGCAGACGGCGUCGAAAGACGUAGUGUGACGAAAAUCCGCCGCUUAACAGCUUGCCGGUUCGAGUCCGGUCCCCGGCACCA